ensembl:lncRNA
AUGAAGCAAAGUCGCCAUUGGGAGCUGGAGCCCUGGCAUUGCCUGCCUAAAUAUCUGAGCAAGUGCCCAGGACAUGCUGGGUCCUCUUCUCCAGCCCGUUUCCUGGAGGGACGACCAGUGGUCAACAUCCACACUCGGCAGCCCAGGCUUUGGAGAUCAAGUGUUGUUGGCAGGCCUUGCAGAUACAGCGAAAGGGUCAUUGAGCGAAAGGUCCGGUGGAGUCUUCUGAAGUUCAGGCAAUGGAAGAGACGACUCACGGACGACACGGGCUGCUGAGGCCGGGUGUGGGCACGUGCCCCGAGCCCGGCCAGCUACACUGGAUUCCAAGGAGAGCCAGGAGUACAGUUGCUGAUGUUAAACCACGUCAUUUAUUUCAAGAACCAGAAUUCUUUACCUCAGUGAGUACAGAAAUCGGAACUAAGGGGGAGUGUGCUGUAAUAAGGAAACUUCUUUAACGUUUAUUUAUUUUUGAGACAGAGAGAGACAGAGCAUGAACAGGGGAGGGUCAGAGAGAGGGAGACACAGAAUCUGAAACAGGCUCCAGGCUCUGAGCUGUCAGCACAGAGCCCGACGCGGGGCUUGAACUCACGGACCGUGAGAUCGUGACCUGAGCCGAAGUCGGCCGCUUAACUGACUGAGCCACCCAGGCGCCCCAGGACACUUCUUUAAAGACAGCCUGGGGCUCUGUUAGCAUUACAAGCUAGAGAGAUGGAAACUGGGCUGUGGGCUGGCAGAUGUCUAGGGAAACGCUCCCCUGAUGAGCACUGACCGAGCGUCAUGGGUGCCAUUUCUUCCCAUCCCUUGGUUCCUGCUUUAAACCCGGAUACCACUCUUGGUGCUGGAGCAGCGACUUGGGAAACAUCUGGAAAAAAUAAUCGGAGAUUCGGAUAUAUCGAACCCAUGGUAAGUCAUUUAUCCUAAAGUUGUUGUGUGAAAACAUCAACUAUUUUUUAGCUAACAUUUGUCAGAUUUUCUGUUACACCCAACCCAAAGUGUUGCUCUGGGAUACAUUGCUCAGCUAGUCAGCUACACAGAUGUGUAUUUUCCCGUGGCUCGCUGCCCUUCUAGUUCCUAAAACGUCAUCAGAUGGUUCCUGCUUGCUCUGACGACAAAUUUAAAGUCAAAUCACACCCGCGAAAAAGUUAUGUAAGCAGCAGCUCCUACAAAAUAGAGCAAAAUUUCAAUUCACUAGCCAAAGUACUAUUAUUAUAGGGCAACGGAGAAAGCAUAGAAAUACAGAUAACAUAUUUAAUUGGUAGGUUAGAAACUGUGCCGUCUUCAUCAAUUAAAGAUAUAUAGACAUCCUUUAUUUCAACAUUUGUACAGAGAAACGAGAUUCUGUUAAUAUUUUGUGUCCCAGUAAUUCACAUUUCCACAUAUAAAACCCACGUAAAAUGGCAAAAGAACUCUGUCUCCUUUUCUGUUGAUUUAAUAUCGGUAUUAUUCCGGAUCACACACCUAUAUUCUUUGAGUACAUUAAACUCGCAAAGAAAGAAGUUUCACGCAAAUAUUUUAAUUCCUACAAUUUUACAUAACUGGGUCCAUACUUUCCAGGGCUUUCUAAAUAUUUGAAUCAGAAGUGGCCUCGUUUCCCCUGAAUGUUGACAUUCCCUCACAAUUUUGAUUUUGGGAAUGAUUACAUCCCCACGAUGGAUGCAUUAAUUUAAUGAGGGCAAGUGUUCAAACACGUUGUAAAAUCAGACGAAAGCAGCUGUAGACACGGAAAGUAAACACACACGUACACAGGGAACUGACCGCAAAAGAGCGGCAGGAUCUCGGCCUGCUAACAGCCAUCCGUUUCCCCCAACCGUCCUUUUUAUCAUCUGACAAACUUCAACACGAGCGUGUCUUUUGGAAACGUGUACAUCGCGAUCCACCGAAUGUCCUCAAGGGUUUGUUCCCGGCGCUAGUUGAGAGGUGACGGGUGCACUGGCUGGUCCCUUGGGUCCCUCUCUGUGAGUAGCGACCACCACGCCCACCCGGUUUGGGGUUCUGGUAGAACAGUCUUAGGAAGGAAACACUGAACCUGUCUCGAAGAACCACCCGUGGCUAACAGCACUACAAUACGUGCUCGUACAGAGUGCGUUACCGCUUAGGGUGGCGGCACAGAUUUUAACCUCAGGUCUACAUGUUGCCAAGAAGUAUUGCUUUGAUGCUCUACGCGCAGUCUUCAGUCCUGGUUUACGUAAGAAAACGUGCUCUCGCAGCUACGGUGGACUUACAUCUAGCCACCAGAACUCUCGUUGCUUAAAUUUCACGCUGAUCUUCUUCGUGUCUCCCCAACCACCCUCUAGCUAAUUUAAGUUAAUUCAUUAAAAAGCAAAGCUCCCUUUUUAGAAAGCUAGUGUAUUUCUAAUUUUCUCCAGUUCUGUCUCUGUGGCCCCAGGUAUCCGUUUCCCCCUGAUAGGGAAGCGGUGUGGAGAAGUGUGGCCUCAAAUCUGAGGGCCCUCUAAUAUAGAACAUCGAAGAAAACUCCUUCCCCCACGAUUGCUGCGCACACACCUUACUGCUAUUCGGAGCUCGCUGCUUCUAGCUGUACAGAAGGUAACUUGUGGGUUUUUGCAGGAGGUCUCACGGCUGCUGUCCUCUGCGAUGUUCGUCCUGCCUUCCUCCCUGAGAGUCCACCAGCAGUAAAUUGUGGCAUUUGCAUGAGACUGUAUGUUGCUCUGCUGACAUCUGACAUGUGCAGGACAGCGGGCAGGCACAGGCAGAACAUUCUAAGAGGACACCCCUUUUCAGCAGCAUAAAUCACGAAUUUCAAAAAUAGUUUUUCAAAUUUUAGGAUUUCAUUCCACUCCAUUCGAUGGCCUCACAGGGCCUGAACACAGCCGCUGGGAACCGACAAAGAAAGCAUGAAGGAAACCUCUUCUGUUUUCAUGUAUUGCUUCGAGAUAUGUCAGAACACUCCUCAUCAAGCGAGUCAGGAUGCCGGGGGCUUUCUCGGGGGCCUCUGUGUUCUUUCUCUUCUCCGUGGUGAUGGCUUCAAGAUGAAGUAGAACACCAAGGCAUUCAUCACAGGAACUAUUGCUUUAUUCAAAACAUUUAAAAAAUAAAUACAAUAAAUCAGGUUUUUUUCCUUUGCA